GUAUAUAUUUUUAAAUACAGUGCUCACUAUUGGAGCAAUACAGAGAAGAUUAGCAUGGCCCCUGUGCAAGGAUGACCUGCAAAAAUAUAUUUUAUGAUU
ensembl:snRNA U6 U6 spliceosomal RNA